rnacentral:tRNA from 1 species
AUUUUCAUAGUAUAAAAAUUAUAUUUGACUUCCAAUCAAAAGACCUAUCUAAUAGUGAAAAUA